AUUGAACGCUGGCGGCAGGCCUAACACAUGCAAGUCGAGCGGAUGAAGGGAGCUUGCUCCUGGAUUCAGCGGCGGACGGGUGAGUAAUGCCUAGGAAUCUGCCUGGUAGUGGGGGAUAACGUCCGGAAACGGGCGCUAAUACCGCAUACGUCCUGAGGGAGAAAGUGGGGGAUCUUCGGACCUCACGCUAUCAGAUGAGCCUAGGUCGGAUUAGCUAGUUGGUGGGGUAAAGGCCUACCAAGGCGACGAUCCGUAACUGGUCUGAGAGGAUGAUCAGUCACACUGGAACUGAGACACGGUCCAGACUCCUACGGGAGGCAGCAGUGGGGAAUAUUGGACAAUGGGCGAAAGCCUGAUCCAGCCAUGCCGCGUGUGUGAAGAAGGUCUUCGGAUUGUAAAGCACUUUAAGUUGGGAGGAAGGGCAGUAAGUUAAUACCUUGCUGUUUUGACGUUACCAACGGAAUAAGCACCGGCUGACUUCGUG
rnacentral:rRNA from 1 species